rnacentral:antisense_RNA from 1 species
UGUGGGAGCUGGCUUGCCUGCGAUAUCGGUGUGUCAGGCGACAGAUAUGUCGACUGUCAGGCUCUUAUCGCAGGCAAGCCAGCUCCCACA